rnacentral:rRNA from 1 species
AGGACGAACGCUGGCGGCGUGCCUAAUACAUGCAAGUCGAACGGUCUUUCUAUGGAAGCUUGCUUCCACUGAGAAGAUAGUGGCGAACGGGUGAGUAACACGUGGGUAACCUGCCCAUAAGAGGGGGAUAACAUCCGGAAACGGGUGCUAAUACCGCAUAGUUUUCUUGAUCGCAUGAUCGGGAAAGGAAAGACGGCCUUUGUGCUGUCGCUUAUGGAUGGACCCGCGGCGUAUUAGUUAGUUGGUGAGGUAAUGGCUCACCAAGACGAUGAUACGUAGCCGACCUGAGAGGGUGAUCGGCCACAUUGGGACUGAGACACGGCCCAAACUCCUACGGGAGGCAGCAGUAGGGAAUCUUCCGCAAUGGACGAAAGUCUGACGGAGCAACGCCGCGUGAGUGAAAGAAGGUUUUCGGAUCGUAAAACUCUGUUGUCAGAGAAGAACAAGUUGGAGAGUAACUGCUCCAGCCUUGACGGUAUCUGACCAGAAAGCCACGGCUAACUACGUGCCAGCCGCCGC